UACGAAGGGGGCUAGCGUUGCUCGGAAUCAUUGGGCGUAAAGAGCGCGCAGGCGGCUUGGCAAGUCGGGUGUGAAAUCCCGGGGCUCAACCCCGGGACUGCAUUCGAUACUGUCAGGCUAGAGGUAGGUAGGGGAGAUCGGAAUUCCUGGUGUAGCGGUGAAAUGCGCAGAUAUCAGGAGGAACACCGGUGGCGAAGGCGGAUCUCUGGGCCUUACCUGACGCUCAGGCGCGAAAGCUAGGGGAGCGAACAGG
rnacentral:rRNA from 1 species